rnacentral:lncRNA from 1 species
CGAGGACAGCCCAUCUCCCAUGCAUGAUGCCCAAGCUUGUGUGCUUUCCCAUCAGUUGGCAGAAAAGAAAAUACUAUAGACUAUGCGGUUACGUUUCAGGAAGAUACCAAGUCUUCUCAAUCUGAGUCACACGUGUUAUGGCAUCCUAAGAGAAAGCCACUGGAAUUUUAGGAACGCAGUAGAAAUAAUUCCAAAGUGAAUCCUG